UACAGAGGUCUCAAGCGUUGUCCGGAAUCAUUGGGCGUAAAGAGCGUGUAGGCGGCCAGAUAAGUCCGCUGUGAAAUCUCGAGGCUCAACUUCGAGCUGUCGGUGGAAACUGUCUGGCUAGAGUCCGGAAGAGGAGAAUGGAAUUCCUGGUGUAGCGGUGAAAUGCGCAGAUAUCAGGAAGAACACCCGUGGCGAAGGCGGUUCUCUGGGACGGUACUGACGCUGAGACGCGAAAGCGUGGGGAGCGAACAGG
rnacentral:rRNA from 1 species